AAUGAUACUUCUGCUAAGUCCUAACUCACAUCUGGAUAGCAGCCCGGCAAAGCGACCGGGGAAACGCCCGCCGUAUUUGCGAAAGAAUACGGAGUGGAUUUC
rnacentral:sRNA from 1 species